GUAGCGAAAUUCCUUGUCGGGUAAGUUCCGACCUGCACGAAUGGCAUAAUGAUGGGGGCGCUGUCUCCAGCAGAGACUCAGUGAAAUCGAAUUCGCCGUGAAGAUGCGGUGUACCCGCGGCUAGACGGAAAGACCCCGUGAACCUUUACUGCAGCUUGACAUUGAACUUUGAUCUUACUUGUGUAGGAUAGGUGGGAGGCUUUGAAACCGAGACGCUAGUUUCGGUGGAGCCAAUCUUGAAAUACCACCCUGGUAAUAUUGAGGUUCUAACUCUGUCCCGUUAUCCGGGACGAGGACCAUGUCUGGUGGGUAGUUUGACUGGGGCGGUCUCCUCCUAAAGAGUAACGGAGGAGUACGAAGGUGCGCUCAGCGUGGUCGGAAAUCACGCGUAGAGUAUAAAGGCAAAAGCGCGCUUAACUGCGAGACCCACAAGUCGAGCAGGUACGAAAGUAGGUCUUAGUGAUCCGGUGGUUCUGUAUGGAAGGGCCAUCGCUCAACGGAUAAAAGGUACUCCGGGGAUAACAGGCUGAUACCGCCCAAGAGUUCAUAUCGACGGCGGUGUUUGGCACCUCGAUGUCGGCUCAUCUCAUCCUGGGGCUGAAGCAGGUCCCAAGGGUAUGGCUGUUCGCCAUUUAAAGAGGUACGCGAGCUGGGUUUAGAACGUCGUGAGACAGUUCGGUCCCUAUCUACCGUGGGCGUUGGAAAUUUGAGAGGAUCUGCUCCUAGUACGAGAGGACCAGAGUGGACGAACCUCUGGUGUACCGGUUGUGACGCCAGUCGCAUCGCCGGGUAGCUAUGUUCGGAAGGGAUAACCGCUGAAAGCAUCUAAGCGGGAAGCCUACCUCAAGAUAAGAUUUCCCUAGGACUUUAUGUCCUCUAAAGAGCCGUUGAAGACUACGACGUUGAUAGGUUGGAUGUGGAAGCAUAGUGAUAUGUGAAGCUGACCAAUACUAAUUGCUCGUGAGGCUUGACUAU
rnacentral:rRNA from 1 species